GACGAACCGUGCGAACGUUGUUCGGAAUCACUGGGCUUAAAGGGCGCGUAGGCGGCUCAGCAAGUCGGGGGUGAAAUCUUUCGGCUCAACCGGAAAAGUGCCUUCGAUACUGCUGAGCUCGAGGAAGAUAGGGGCCACGGGAACGACCAGUGGAGCGGUGAAAUGCGUUGAGAUUGGUAGGAACGCCGGUGGCGAAAGCGCGUGGCUGGAUCUUCCCUGACGCUGAGGCGCGAAAGCUAGGGGAGCAAACGGG
rnacentral:rRNA from 1 species